AUUUAAUUUAAAAAAAAAUUAAAAUUAAAAAAAUCAUAAUGCGUCUCUGGUAUUGUUCAGGGGGCCGGGCCAAAUGUGGAGGCGGGCCGUACCCGGCCCGCGGGCCUUAGUUUGGGGACCACUGCUCUAAGGUCUUACCUGGAGGAAUGAAACUCCAGACUGCAGGAAGAGGGAAUGAAAAUCAAAAGCGUUGGCACGCAUGAAUCAGGAUCAGAUAUUUUUUUAUCUAAUGUAUACAGUCAAUGGAUUAUUCGUGUUUUUUUUCGCCAGAGUUGCUUGCGUACGUGGAGAAAUAAACCAGACACUGAAACUAUUGCUAAAUAAUGUGGACAUACAUAUCCUGUUUAAACAGCCCAAUUGGUUAACAUGGGUCCAAUUUUCUUAAAUGAUUAACUUUCAAAGGUAGGUCAUAGUGUCCAAGAGUGCUAUAUUUGCAUUUUUUUUCAAAUGGAACCCCAUAGUAAUAAUCUCAAAAAAUGUCAAUGUCUUUGGUAGGUUAGGGCAGCAUAUUUGUUUGCCUAUUUCUGUCCUAACCUUGGAGACCAAGGCGAUAUUGAUUUAGUAUUUUUACACAUAUGUGUAUGUCUGUAACCAGCUGAAAAGAGAGCUUUAAAACUAAAAGCUAACCAUUGUGAAAGUCUGCAGGCCAACAGAGUUUCUCAUUUAGCAGCUGACACAUACAGUGGUGUCUGACAUUUUCACAGCCAGUAAUGCACUGGUCAGGUGGAUUCUUAUGUAGAGGAUUCCCCUCUCAUUCGCACCACACAUAAAAAACAUCACCCGCACCGCCUUAUUUCAUCUUCGGAACAUCUCCAGACUCCGCUCAUCUCUGUCCCAACCCAGCACUGAAAUCCUGGUCCACUCAUUCGUCACAUCCCGGAUUGAUUACUGCAAUGCACUUCUGACUGGCCUUCCCAUCAAGCUCCUCAAUAGACUGCAAAUAAUCCAGAACUCUGCUGCCCGGAUCAUCACCCGCACCAACUCAUCCGACCACAUCACCCCCAUUCUCACUCAGCUACACUGGCUUCCUGAGUACACCCCCUCCUGCACCCUCUGCUCUUCGUCCGUAGGACUUCUCACCGUCCCAAGCUAUCGCCUCAAAACCAUGGGUGCUCGAGCUUCCAGCUGCUCGGCUCCCAGACUCUGGAACACCCUGCCACUACACAUCCGACAGUCUGAUUCCAUAACAACAUUCAAAACCCAACUCAAAACCCACCUGUUCAAACUGGCAUUUUCUCUAUAAUCUGUACCCUGUGUCUUUUUGUAGUCAAUUUCCUGUUGUUUGUCUUGUCUUACCCCGGCUGAUACUUCACUAAAUCCGCUGUUUUAAUUUGUAAGGUAAAAUUGUAAAUGUAAAUUGUAAAUCUGUAACCCUGUAAGGUGUCCUUGGGUGUUAUGAAAGGCGCCCCCCAAAAUAAAUGUAUUAUUAUUAUGUUAACAAUGCUAACAAAGUUGACCAGUUUGGGAAGUAUUUAAUCACUUUUUCAAAUAGUACGUUGUAUUUGUCAUCAUGGUGCGUGUCAUUAAACAGAAUCUCUUCCAGGA